rnacentral:rRNA from 1 species
GACGAACGCUGGCGGCGUGCUUAACACAUGCAAGUCGAACGGAAAGGCCCUGCUUGCAGGGUACUCGAGUGGCGAACGGGUGAGUAACACGUGGGUGAUCUGCCCUGCACUUCGGGAUAAGCCUGGGAAACUGGGUCUAAUACCGGAUAGGAGCCAUUUUUAGUGUGAUGGUUGGAAAGUUUUUUCGGUGUAGGAUGAGCUCGCGGCCUAUCAGCUUGUUGGUGGGGUAAUGGCCUACCAAGGCGGCGACGGGUAGCCGGCCUGAGAGGGUGGACGGCCACAUUGGGACUGAGAUACGGCCCAGACUCCUACGGGAGGCAGCAGUGGGGAAUAUUGCACGAUGGGCGCAAGCCUGAUGCAGCGACGCCGCGUGGGGGAUGACGGCCUUCGGGUUGUAAACUCCUUUCGCUAGGGACGAAGCUUUUUGUGACGGUACCUAGAUAAGAAGCACCGGCUAACUACGUG